rnacentral:rRNA from 1 species
AUUGAACGCUGGCGGCAUGCUUUACACAUGCAAGUCGAACGGUAACAGGGUGCUUGCACCUCUGACGAGUGGCGAACGGGUGAGUAAUGCGUCGGAACGUGCCGAGUAGUGGGGGAUAACGCAGCGAAAGGUGUGCUAAUACCGCAUACGUACUGAGGUAGAAAGUGGGGGACCUUCGGGCCUCACGCUAUUCGAGCGGCCGCCGUCUGAUUAGCUAGUUGGUGAGGUAAAGGCUCACCAAGGCGACGAUCAGUAGCGGGUCUGAGAGGAUGAUCCGCCACACUGGGACUGAGACACGGCCCAGACUCCUACGGGAGGCAGCAGUGGGGAAUUUUGGACAAUGGGCGCAAGCCUGAUCCAGCCAUGCCGCGUGUCUGAAGAAGGCCUUCGGGUUGUAAAGGACUUUUGUCCGGGAGCAAAUACCCAGUGCUAAUAACGCUGGGGGCUGAGAGUACCGGAAGAAUAAGCACCGGCUAACUACGUGCCAGCAGCCGCCGUAA